CUACGGGAGGCAGCAGUCGGGAAUUUUGGGCAAUGGGCGAAAGCUUGACCCAGCAACGCCGCGUGAAGGAUGAAAUCCCUCGGGAUGUAAACUUCGCAAGAACGGGAAGAAUAAGUAGGGGACAAUACCCCCUAUGAUGACGGUACCGUUUGUAAGCUCCGGCUAACUCCGUGCCAGCAGCCGCGGUAAUACGGGGGGAGCAAGCGUUGUUCGGAUUUACUGGGCGUAAAGGGCGCGUAGGCGGCCAGCACAAGUCAGUUGUGAAAUCUCCGAGCUUAACUCGGAAAGGUCAACUGAUACUGUGCGGCUAGAGUGCAGAAGGGGCAACUGGAAUUCUUGGUGUAGCGGUGAAAUGCGUAGAUAUCAAGAGGAACACCUGCGGCGAAGGCGGGUUGCUGGGCUGACACUGACGCUGAGGCGCGAAAGCUAGGGGAGCGAACGGGAUUAGAUACCCCGGUAGUCCUAGCCUUAAACGAUGAAUGCUUGGUGUCUGGGGUUAUAAAGUCCCCGGGUGCCGUCGCUAACGCUUUAAGCAUUCCGCCUGGGGAGUACGGUCGCAAGACUGAAACUCAAAGGAAUUGACGGA
rnacentral:rRNA from 1 species